UUUCCGUAGGUGAACCUGCGGAAGGAUCAUUACUGAGUGAGGGCCCCUCGGGGUCCAACCUCCCACCCGUGUUUAACGAACCUUGUUGCUUCGGCGGGCCCGCCUCACGGCCGCCGGGGGGCAUUUGCCCCUGGGCCCGCGCCCGCCGAAGCCACCUGUGAACGCUGUCUGAAGUAUGCAGUCUGAGACAAUUAUUAAAUUAAUUAAAACUUUCAACAACGGAUCUCUUGGUUCCG
rnacentral:misc_RNA from 1 species